UCGCGGCUUAUCACCGGCAGUCCCCUUAGAGUGCCCAACUGAAUGAUGGCAACUAAGGGCGAGGGUUGCGCUCGUUGCGGGACUUAACCCAACAUCUCACGACACGAGCUGACGACAGCCAUGCAGCACCUGUCACCGGUCCAGCCGAACUGAAAGACUCCCUUUCAGGAAUCCGCGACCGGGAUGUCAAGGCCUGGUAAGGUUCUUCGCGUUGCAUCGAAUUGAGCCACAUACUCCACCGCUUGUGCAGGCCCCCGUCAAUUCCUUUGAGUUUUAACCUUGCGGCCGUACUCCCCAGGCGGAGAACUUAACGCGUUAGCUUCGCUACUAACCCCUCGCGGGGCCAACAGCCAGUUCUCAUCGUUUACAGCAUGGACUAC
rnacentral:misc_RNA from 1 species